ensembl:snRNA U6 U6 spliceosomal RNA
GUGCUUGCUUUGGCAGCACAUAGACUAAAAUUGGAACCAUGUGGAGAUUAGUCUGGCCCCUGCACAAGGAUGAUGUGUACAUUCAUGAAGCACUACAACUGAUU